CGGAAAACGAGAAAAAACUGAGGAUUGGGAGGAGGGAAAGGGCAAGCAACGAACUGGGUGACGACGAGGGCUGUUUAUGCACAAGGCUCUGAUACCAACUUGAAAAUCAGAGUAUUGACGAUUCUAAUGAUUGUUUGGAUCGUUGGCUAAGCAAGGGGAUAUUGCUUAGAGAGGCGGGCUCUAUCCUAGUUAAGGAGUGACCGAAUGAGGGGACAUCUUUUAGAGAAGGCGAGCUCUAGCCUUAACUAAGGAGUGUUGUAAAGGUUUGUUCCGCUAGUUAAAGGAACAGGUUUAGUGAAUCCUUUGGUGGUUUGCCAAAGGCAAGGACGUAGGCUGGGUAUAAGCCAAACCUCGUAAAAUUCUCCAUCUCACUCUCUCUUUCCCUAUUCUUUAUUUUCAGUACAUGUUUAAAUUACGUGGAUGGAUUAAAUUUAAAAUCAUAUAAACUACGUGAAUUUGGAAAUCAAGUAAAUCUUAAAGUUUGAUUUU